rnacentral:rRNA from 1 species
UACGUAGGGUGCAAGCGUUGUCCGGAAUUAUUGGGCGUAAAGAGCUCGUAGGCGGUUCGUCGCGUCGGCUGUGAAAACCCGGAGCUCAACUCCGGGCCUGCAGUCGAUACGGGCGGACUUGAGUGUUGCAGGGGAAACUGGAAUUCCUGGUGUAGCGGUGAAAUGCGCAGAUAUCAGGAGGAACACCGGUGGCGAAGGCGGUUCUCUGGGCAUGAUCUGACGCUGAGGAGCGAAAGUGUGGGGAGCGAACAGG